CCUGAGGCUCUGAGGUCCCCGGUUCGAUACCCAGCACCACCAUAUGCCAAGAAGCCGUGUUACUUGUUGCAAAGAGGGAAUGGAGAGAACAUUGGCGGGGCGCCCUUCGGAGGGAAAUUGGGGUUAGGAGUGACACACACACACACCCUACAGACACACAUCUGUCUGUAUGUAACAACCCCGGCGUGACGCCCGCGCCCAAGCGCAAGAGGCGAGGGGUGGCCGGGUACGCGGGGCUCCGAACCCGAGGGCGCUGUCCUCGCGGUGCGCACAGCGGGCACGGGAGCGGCGGAGACGGGGACCCGAGAGCCGCCUCACCUGGGGCCGAAGUUUGGAAGGACUAUCCUUUGGUCUCCUCCCCAGACAUGGAGGCCGUGAGAUAACGUUGACCCUGCCAGCAUUUCAAACCAGAGAACAUCAUGAGACAUAUCAACAAGCAACUCUACACAUUACAGUGUGCAAGGGCCUUGGUUAAGCCCCCCUGCCCACCUGUAGAGAGGAAGAUUCAUAACUGCUGAAGAAACAAUGCUACAGAUAGGAGUGAGAGAAAUUGAAAGGGGAGGGGAAUAUAGAAAGACAGACAUCUACAUACCUGCUUCACCACUCGUGAAACAGCCCACCUGCAGGUGGUCUCCUUUGGUAUUCCUAGUUGAUCUGGGAGAGGAGAGGAGAUGAGAGAAACAGAUCUACUGCUGCUCGUAGCUUCACCUCUGGAAGUCUCUCGAAUGAAGAAAUUCCUAAUAGACCACAUAAUGGAGAUAUUUGAAAAUGAGAAGCAGAAAGAAGAAAGGCAAGUGAAAGAGAAGAGAUACAGCACUGCUUCCCCCC